UACUUGGAUGCGAGCAGAGAAGAGGAGGAUAUUGGAGAAGGUCUCGACGGUUGCAACAUUUUUUGGAUGCCAACCGCUGUUAGAUUUCAUCAAAGAAGGUAUCGACGUCACUACAGGUGCCUGCGGAGUUCUCGAAUUUUCGUCUUCCUCAUAGAUUCCAGUUCCAGCCAUCGUUGUGCGGACCACUUGACUUCGAGAGAGACCACGCUGUACCCGUCGGAGGCGUCACUGUCGCUAUUCACCUUUAUGAUUGUUCACUGUCAUUUUCAUCAUCAUCAUCAUCAUCACCAAGAUCAUUAUAUUCAUCAUCCUUACUCUAGCUAAGAUUGUAAACUAUUGUCCAUUCCUAAGGGUCAGUAGAAUAAGGUGUUAAAAAAGAAAUGUCUGUAUCAUAAUUUAAAUAUAAAAGUGCACUAUUAUAACUAUUGCCUGUGAUGAAAAAAAAACAUGAAACAAUUAUGGUUGAAUUGAUGGUCAAAAUAAAGAGACAUCCACCUUAUUGUUAUGAUUAUAAUAAUAAACUCUAAAAUAGUG